UGUAAUUAAUUAUAUUAGUUAUAUUAUAAGAUUGAUAUUAAUGUUUAUUUAAGUAAAAUUAUAUUGUUAGGUCAUAAUAUUAGGUAUAUAAUGUAUUAACAUCGAUUAAAAAUUAUAAUCUACGAUGUAGAUCUGGACUUUAUAAUAAUUUUAUUUAUAAUGUUUAAAGAAGAAUAUUGUCUUUACUUAUUUGGAUUAAUUAUAAUUUUAAAUUUCUCAUUUAAGAUUGAAGUUUGUUCGAGGAGAUUAAAAAUUAUUUUGGCGGUUUUAAAAAUUAAAAGAGGAUUAAGAUCAUUGAAAAUAUUGUAAUACGUAUUAUCCC
rnacentral:rRNA from 1 species